GACAGAGGAGGCGAGCGUUAUCCGGAGUCAUUGGGCGUAAAGGGUACGUAGGCGGCUAGUCAAGUCUGAGGUUAAAGACCACAGCUCAACUGUGGGAAGGCCUUGGAAACUGACUGGCUAGCGUGGGGCAGGGGUUGCGGGAAUUCCCGGUGUAGCGGUGAACUGCGUAGAUAUCGGGAAGAACACCUGAGGCGAAAUCGCGCAACUGGGCCCUAACUGACGCUGAGGUACGAAAGCUAGGGGAGCGAAUGGG
rnacentral:rRNA from 1 species